rnacentral:snRNA from 1 species
GUGCUUGCUUCGGCAGCACAUAUACUAAAAUUGGAACGAUACAGAAAAGAUUAGCAUGGCCCCUGCACAAGGAUGACAUGCAAAUUUGUGAAGCAUUCCAUAUUUUU